UACGUAGGGCGCAAGCGUUGUCCGGAAUUAUUGGGCGUAAAGAGCUCGUAGGCGGUCUGUUACGUCCGCUGUGAAAACCCAGGGCUUAACCCUGGGCUUGCAGUGGAUACGGGUAGACUAGAGGCAGGUAGGGGAGAAUGGAAUUCCCGGUGUAGCGGUGAAAUGCGCAGAUAUCGGGAGGAACACCGGUGGCGAAGGCGGUUCUCUGGGCCUUACCUGACGCUGAGGAGCGAAAGUGUGGGGAGCGAACAGG
rnacentral:rRNA from 1 species